UUGAAUGCUCAUCUAAUGACUGAUACCAUCUUAAGAAGAAGGAAAUUUGUAUACAGAGACAGAGAGAGAAGGCCAUGUGAAGACAAGUAGAGAUGGGAAUGAGGUGUCUAUGAGCCAAAGAAUGCCAAGGAUUGCCAGCAAUCACCAGAAGCUACAAGAGAAGCAUGGAACAGAUUCUCCCACAGAGAAUUCAGAUACUUGCCAAGACUUUUGGACUUGAUUUUGGACUUUUGGCUUUCAGAGCUAUGAAAGAAUAAAUUUGUUUCAAACCACCCAGCUUGUGAUAAUUUGUUAUGGCAGCCCAAGAGAAUUAAUGAAUCCAGCAUAUCCCAUUUUGAUAACAAAUGGCUUGUCUAAAGAUAAGCUCCAACUGCCACCCCUUAUCCAAUCUUAUCCAAUCUCUUCCAUCCUUGAGCAAGGGUUUCAGGAGAAAAAAGAAAAGUAUUAAAUGAGACAUCACCAUUACUAUGAUUCUUACUGUCACAGCAUGAGUAAAGAAAGUAUUUCCAGCAAGGAUAAGGAACUGGUACCUUAUGAUAACAACUAUGGAGAUAAGGGAUGAUAAUAAUAAGAGAAGAAGAAU